rnacentral:rRNA from 1 species
AUUGAACGCUGGCGGCGUGCUUUACACAUGCAAGUCGACCGAGUGGCGAACGGGUGAGUAACGCAUCGGAACGUACCGUGUAAUGGGGGAUAACUGUCCGAAAGGACAGCUAAUACCGCAUACUAUUCCAGCGGCCGAUGUCGGAUUAGCUGGUUGGCGGGGUAAAGGCCCACCAAGGCGACGAUCAGUAGCGGGUCUGAGAGGAUGAUCCGACACACUGGAACUGAUACACGGCCCAGACUCCUACGGGAGGCAGCAGUGGGGAAUUUUGUACAAUGGGCGCAAGCCUGAUCCAGCCAUGCCGCGUGUGUGAAGAAGGCCUUCGGGUUGUAAAGGACUUGUGUCAGGGAGGCGGUACCUGAAGAAUAAGCACCGGCUAACUACGUGCCAGCAGCCGCGGUAAUAC